rnacentral:lncRNA from 1 species
GUUCUGGCUUCCCUUAUCUGCUUCGCAUUUAGUCUGUUUUUUUGGUUGAAGUAUAUGAAGAAAACCUGGCCUCACACAGACAUGUAGUUGGGAAAGUGAAGACCGCAAAGAUUCCCUGAAAGGAUAAUGGGACAACUUCAAGAACGGCUGCGAUACAUCAAGCACGAGAGCCAACAUGCUGUUCACCUGUAGCUGUUCAAUUCGGAAGCAGACUGACUGGAUUUAAAUUUCAGAUGUGUGGGCAAGUCACCUAAACACCCUGUGCCUCAGUUUCCCCCUAGAGAGGGUCAAAUGACUUGUUUUCUGUGGCGAGGCGAGAGCAAUGCUUGGCACAUACUAAGUGCUCAAUAAGUACUGACUGUUAGAAUCAUUGGCUCUGUGCCUGGCACUAGUAGGGGCUCCCUUUUCUUCCCAGGGCAGGCAUCCAUCCCCUCAGAGAUCAUCUUUAACCUGCCAGGAAUGGCCUGGGUUCCAUGAUCUCCAGGGCUGCCCUGAGACCUUGAGCUUCUUCAAGGGAAACCCAGCUAAGCCCAGUGUGUGCCUUGUGCCAUCUCUUUGGCCACAGCCCAAAGCAGCCUUGCAGUGUGUGCGUGCCAGCCUCUGGCAUGUCGGAUGGGGUGUACCUGCGUCGGAGCUGAGACAUUUUCCUCCCCAGCAGCUGGCGAUUAGGAAGUCACUCUCUAUAAUGGACGAGGCCUAAUCAGCCUGCUGAUAAUUACCAGGCCCAGAACGUGGCCGCGAUUCAGGAAAGAUGAUCCCCGAAGACAAGAGCCACUUAAAUCCUGGCAUUGACCACGGGUCCCCUUGGUAACCGAUAACUCUCAGCACAAUUUAGCCACUGAGCUAAUUGAUGUUCUCUGAGGCAGUCGGCUCAUACCCCGGCAGUCAAAAUGGGCUCUAAUUGCCGACAUCCUUCAGAUGUUUACUGAGCACUUGCUCUGUGCCAGGCGCUGUCCCAGGUGCUGGUCCUGCAGGAGUAUGUGGAGCCUAGAGUUUGAUGAGGGAGGAGCCAUUGAUGAAAUGCCACCCAAGAAGACUGCAACAGACGCUGUUGAAGCCUGCAGCAGAUGCUGUGGGAACCUCACUCAACCCCUCAGCUCUCACCUUUGAGGUGAAUGCCAAUGGUAUCCUGAGAUUCUUCACCUAAGGGCAUUCUCGAGGUUGGCACAGAGGGCAAGCUGGAAUUUUGAACCUCUCAACCCCCAUCCAUGGGAACUGGAAGACAAAAAUAUCCAGCUUCCUUAUCUAAUCAAGUGGGAUAGCUCUGAGGCCUGUUCUACAAUCUCCCAAGGACCCCUAACAGGAUGGAGCCCCAGCUGCCCACAGCAAUAACUGGCUCGCGAAUGCACUCCACAUCAUGCCCUUCCCGUCCCUGAAUCACUCCCUCGCUCCCAGACCUGGGCUCACUCUCCAAGUAAACUACUGACACUCAAAUCUUUGUCUCAGAGUGUGGUGCUGGGAAACUCAGCCUGAGACAGAUGUAAUUACAAACUGUGAUAGCUGCAAGCAAGGAGAGGGAUGCCGGGCCGCAUUCUGACAAGGUGUUGUCUGAAAUGACAGCUAAGGAAGCAUAGGCAUUAUCUAAUGUAGAUCGUCAGGAUGCAGCACAGCAAACAGAAACCGUUUUAGGAACAUUAACAGGAGGCAGGAAGGGUUGACCCAGCAGGGCUGGCUGUCAGCUCCUUGCACUGCUGCUAUGGCUUCACAGGAUUACUGUCCACAAACAAACAAACAGCACCAAAACUCCCAACAAUAAGAACAACAGAAAUCCCACCUAAGGCACCAAAGGCUUGGUGAGCAUGGAUGCAUGGCAAAACUGCCUCCUGAAGGCCAGAAGAAAGGAUUUCUCUCCUGUUUUCACCCACUCCCUGUGCCUCCUGACUGACCCCGGUGCUUCCCCCAUGGCUCUGCAGAUCUUGGUGUGCCCACUCCUCUUGGGAACUAACAGAGGGAAUUUCCUGGAAGGCAGGGUCUGUGUUCAUCUCCCACAGAGCAUAGAGCACAGUGGAUGCUGAGGAAAUGGUGAAUGCUGGAAAGGAGCAACAGGAUGCCAAGGCCAGAAGUUCACCUUUGUGACCAAACUGGCUGAAACUGGUGAGAUGCAAGACGGCAGCUCACUUGACCUCCAAAGAACCUCUAACUUCAUUAUAAUAUAAUUUCCUUGCUAAAUGACACUCCCAUCAGUGUCAUGACAGUUGACAUUGCCAUGACAAUGGCCAGAAGAAACCAUAAAGGGACAAAAAGGAAGGUAGUAACUCUGGUUCCAAGGAGUUCUCCCAUUUCCAGAAAAGACAUGGAUAUUCCUCCCCUUGCUUUUAAUGCCCAACUUUUUCAUUAAAGAUGAAGCCUGUAUCUAUGGUUUCCCAGCUCUCAGGAGCUGAGAAGUUGAUUUGUGAGCCAAACUCCCACUUCUCAAUAAAGGCCGUCGAAUAAAGCAUGCACUGUUUCAUGCUUACUUUUGGGUUCGUGUAUUGGCUUCACAGCACAGAACAGGAAAAGGCUCCAUCUUCUGGGGGACAGGCUUUGUUGGUAACAAAAGGACUGGCCCAGAGUCAGAGUUAGGAAGUGAUAAAGCCAGGUGUCUGCC